CUUGAGCGAUGGUGACAGGGGUUCCUGGUGCGGGCUGCAGACGCACCCAGGCAGAUCCGGCGUCGUGAACGCGGACCGGUUGAAUAGGAACCGGCUGCUUGUGUGCCGCCGCCUUGAAGGUCUCCAGGAUCUCCUUGUAAUGGCGUGUAUUUCGCUGCCCUGUGAUUCCCUGUGAGGACUGGGUGGUGAAUACCCUGGCAAAAGCAAGGUUCAUAUGAGGGUGGUCCUUGCAGGUGAUCUCUGCCCUGGCCAGUGCCGUCAGUUCCGAGACGGUCCACCGCGCGUUGAACUCUGCUGGUGGAAGAGAGUUUGCGGUGCCAAUGUACGUGUGACCUCUGCGAUGAUGGAUUUAGCAAAGGGACCAGGAACGAUGACAGUUGGCGGGGUGUCUGGCGAGGGGCCACAAAGGGAUGAAGUUCGGAGUAAGGGCCGGAGGAAUCUUGCACUGAUGGCAGUGGUCCCCCUGGAGUGGCAGUGGGGGGCUCACCAUGUGCAGGAACCCUGGAGUCCGGCCGAGGUACCCCUGCGUACCCCUUGGCGAGUUCUUUGUUGGUAAACUUCAUCUUGGCGGGCAUCGACAAUUCUUGGACCGCCAAAGUCCUGAC
rnacentral:lncRNA from 1 species